GAUAAACGCUGGCGGCGUGCAUAACACAUGCAAGUCGAACGAUGAAGAUUAAAAGAUUUCUUCGGAAUGAACUUAAUUGGAUUAGUGGCGGACGGGUGAGUAACGCGUGAGUAACCUGCCUUGUACAAGGGGAUAGCCGUUGGAAACGACGAAUAAUACCCUAUGACAUCAAAUAAUCGCAUGAUAAUUUGAUCAAAGAUUUAUCGGUAUAAGAUGGACUCGCGUCUGAUUAGCUAGUUGGAAGAGUAAAAGCCUACCAAGGCAACGAUCAGUAGCCGGCUUGAGAGAGUGUACGGCCACAUUGGGACUGAGACACGGCCCAGACUCCUACGGGAGGCAGCAGUGGGGAAUUUUGCACAAUGGGGGAAACCCUGAUGCAGCGACGCCGCGUGAUUUAGAAGGCCUUCGGGUUGUAAAAAUCUUUUGUAUGGGAAGAAAAUGACAGUACCAUACGAAUAAGGACCGGCUAAUUACGUG
rnacentral:rRNA from 1 species